ensembl:lncRNA
CUCCCCCCACUUACACACGCACAUUUUUGAGUAACUCUUUCACUGAAUGUGGAGAAUGGACUAUGACCAGCUAGCUCUCUGACACACAGCUUGAUGAUGGCAAUGACGCCUCUACUGAGGACAGUCCAGAGCCUCCAAAGGAACCACAAGGACCACUGAAGGACCAUCGACUGGUAGGCAUCUCUUAAAUUUGUGUGUGCGCUCGUCACAUCUCAGUGUUUUGACCCUAUAUCUGUUGAGAUUAUUGUGGCCAAGCCCAACAUCCUUCUCUCUGCCUCUGUGAGUGACCUGAAGAAGGUGUCACGCCAGAUGGAGGUGGUCCCCACUGUCUGGCCCUGCAGGCAGCAGCUGGACAAGUGGACAAACACUAACGAGGAGAGUCUGAGGAGGAUCAAAGAGAACCUGACCUCAAUAGAACUCAACCUGGAGGAAGGUCUGAAGACGCACAAUGAUGGUGAGGACAUCAACCAAGAGGCAGCAGAAGAAUGAGAGAUGCUGUAGAGGAUGGAUUGCAAAGUGGAUGGGGAGGAGGAAGGAGAGACUGAGGGAUGAAGACGUGGCUACGAAGAUCAAGAGGAUGGGCGAGCAGGUGAGGGCACUGAUCCAAGUGAUGAAGAGAAACUGCAGUGAAGGUGAUCUUAAGGCAGUAGACCUGGACAGUUGGCUGAAUGACUUGGAGGUUGAAAGUGGCAUUCAAGAAAUGCACAGGAGAGAUGGCCGAAAAUAUAGACAGCAUGGCAGAAAUACAGACCAGUAUAGCCGAGAACAGGCUCAAGUCAUAAAAAAAGAACAAUGUCCAGAGCUUUGUAAGUUACUCCUACUUAUUGAGUGUAGUCAAGGUCCUAAACGAUAUCUUAACCACCAUUGAUAAGAAACAAGUCUUUAGACUCUGUCAAUCACCACAUCCUCAUCGGCAGACUCGACAGCCUUGGUUUCUCAAAUGAUUGCCUCGCCUGGAUCACCAACAACUUCUCUGAUAAGAGUUCAAUGUGUCAAAUCGGAGGGUCUGCUGUCCGGACCUCUGGCAGUCUCUAUGGGGGUGCCACAGGGUUCAAUUCUUGGACCGACUCUCUUCUCUGUAUACAUAAAUGAUGUUGCCCUUGCUGCUGGUUAGUCUUUGAUCCACCUCUACGCAGACGACACCAUUCUGUAUAUUUCUGGCCCUUCUUUGGACACUGUGUUAACAACCCUCCAGGCAAGCUUCAAUGCCAUACAACUCUCCUUCCGUGGCCUCCAAUUGCUCUUAAAUACAAGUAAAACUAAAUGCAUGCUCUUCAACCGAUUG